UGAGUGCACAGCUUCUGUACCAGAGGCUUUACGUAUUUUGUGGUGCCAAACCAGUUGGGCAUGUGGUAAGAGAAGAAGCCAUUAUUCCGACAGACAGCCUAAUGGGGGAGACACAUAAAAGAUAUCCAAAAGGAUCAAAAGUUGUUUCUUCUUAAAAACUGGAAAAUCCUGAAUGUUUCAAGUUAAUCUAGAUAAGAGGCAGUCAGCACUGCACUUAGAGGUCCAAAAUGGAAUACCCAUCACUGUAACAGAAGAUAACCCUCACCACUUUACCUUGUCAACAAAUGUGACAUCCUGAACCAUCCCCAGUUCUUCAGGGAUAGGCUUGGCCACAGAAACUAUAAAUACAUUGACACCAAACUCUCUGGCCACAAUGCCUGCUUCCUCGAUGUCAUCAGAAGGCCAACCAUCAAUAAAUACCACCACCACUUUGGGGAUCCCUUUUCUUACUCCAGCAUCUACCGUGAAGAAUUUCUGAGCAGUAUCAAAGUCUACUUACCUGUAUUGGAAUUACCCCCUCUGAAACCUACUUCCUUUAUGGCAAACAAAACAUCUUUGGCUGAUGUAAAGUUUUUCAAGUAAAAUUCUAUUUUGGGAUGUUCACUGAGUGGAAGAAAGAAAAUGUUAUUCAGGGAGAAUUAAAAAGAUGAGAAAAUUAAAGCCGUGGGGUUAAUUUGCCCAAACAACAUUCUACAACUCCCGAAGGACAGAAAACAGAAAAGUGAAUCCCUUCAGAAUACAGCAUUUUUAUCUUAAUUGAACCUGAUUAUUUCUGCUCCAGAUCUGUCCAGUGAGAUUUAUCAAGCAGCGGAUGCAUUUUUAGAAAGCACUGUUAAUAUUCUCAAGUUUUACACUGUCAACCUAACAAAGAAUCAGUUUUUACUAUAAAUGAUGCUAGGAAGAGACAAGCUCUUGGCAACAAGUAACAAGAUAACAUAAUACAACAUGUUAAUUUGUGAAUUUACUGUCGAUACUAAAUUGAGAUUAAUGUUAUUAAAUGC
rnacentral:lncRNA from 1 species